ACCUGGUUGAUCCUGCCAGUAGUCAUAUGCUUGUCUCAAAGAUUAAGCCAUGCAUGUCUAAGUAUAAGCAAUCUAUACUGUGAAACUGCGAAUGGCUCAUUAAAUCAGUUAUCGUUUAUUUGAUAGUACCUUACUACUUGGAUAACCGUGGUAAUUCUAGAGCUAAUACAUGCAUCAAUACCCGACUGUUCGCGGAAGGGUAGUAUUUAUUAGGUAUAGACCAACCCUCUUCGGAGGUGCUUUGGUGAUUCAUAAUAACUUUUCGAAUCGCAUGGCCCCGUGCCGGCGAUGGAUCA
rnacentral:rRNA from 11 species